rnacentral:rRNA from 1 species
CCCUUAGAUGUUCUGGGCGGCCCGCGCACUACAUUGGCACUGGCAACAAGAUCCUAGAUCUGGUAUUUCGGGGUAUUCUACCAACUGGUGUCGUGACUGGGAUUAACCCCUGCAAUUAUUGGUUAUGAACGAGGAAUUCCUUGUAAUCACGGUUUAUCAACCCGUGUUGAAUGCGUCCCUGCCCUUUGUACACACCGCCCGUCGCUCCUACCGAUGAAUCGUCCGGUGAAGUUCAUGGAGUCGCGGCUGCUCCAGCUGUUUUCGAAGUGAAAUGGACCCCAUGAUUUAGAGGAAGGAGAAGUCGUAACA